GCUCCCGCCUCUCCCGCGGGGCUGGGCGGGACCCGGAGCCGAAUUCCCCGGAGCAGAAUUCCCUGUUCGAGGCCGUGUUUUCGGGAAAAGUGGCCACGGAGACGCUGGUGGAUGAGUGGCUGGAGUGUACCGGCGGGACAGGGAGCCGCGUUCCUGGAGCUGCUCAACUUCACCGUGCGCUCCUGCGGCUGCAGGGGCGUGGUGACCCCAGAGAUGUUCCGGGAGCUGCAGAACUCCGAGAUCAUCCGGAGGCUCACGGAGACCUUCAGGAGGUACCGGGGGCUUUUCUGGGAAUUUUGGGAUUUUC